UGCCUAGGGUUGUUAGUCAACAUAAAAUAAACAUUAACUAAAAAAAAAGGUAUAUAUAUAUAUAUAUAUAUAUAUAUAUAUAUAUAUAUAUAUAUAUAUAUAUAUAUAUAUAUAUAUAUAUUUAUUAUUAUUAUUAUUAUUAUUAUUAUUAUUAUUUUAUUUAUUUUUUUAGCCAUUUGCUAAGUUUUAUAUACUUUACCUUUAUGUAGCAAGAUACAGUAACUAAAACUGAAAUAAAUAAUGAUACAAAUUUUAUGGGCAUGUUAAAAAAUUAAAUAAAAUAAAUACAAAAAGUAUAAUAAAAAUGUCAAAGAUGCACAACAAAAUUGUAAAAUUAAAAUGGAAAAUAUUACAAAUUAAUUAAAGCUAUGAAUAAAAAUACACAGUAGUGUCUUAAUGAUAUUAAAAUAACCCUGCUGAAAGAAACUGUUGAUCAUGGUCAUAUAAGCAAUUUAUUAUAUAUAUAUAUAUAUAUAUAUAUAUAUAUAUAUAUAUAUAUAUAUAUAUAUAUAUAUAUAUAUAUAUAUAUAUAUAUAAUAUUCUGGUUGGGUUAGGUCAAGCUUUAUAUUAUAUUUAUUAUUAUUAUUUUUGAUACUGCAUUGGCAUUAAAACUGGGAUCAAGAAUGGUGAACUAUUAAUGCCACUUGUAUCGUGACCACCCUUACAUGAGUUAUUAUAUUAUUUAUAAAUUUAUAUAUGUAACUAUGCCUCAGUGGUGAUUGAGGGAGCAGUGAAGACUGAAGGUGUUUGUGUCUGUGCUCAGGAGACAGCGGCCGUGUCCCGAUCGGCCUCCAUUAAAGAGUCGGGUCCUAAACCGGUGCAGAACGAGGACCAAUCAGAGCCCAGACACACCAGUCCACUGGAGUACAGCAGGACUCUGGCCACUCAGAACAGGUACAGACCGCUUCACACACACACACACACACGGACUCAGGACUGAGCGCUCUCUGCUGUGUGUGUCAGCUUACAGACAGCCGUCAUGGUGCGUGUGGGCACUGAGGAAGACGAGGAGGAGGAAGAGGAAGAUGAGGAGGAGGAGGAGAAGCCCUCCAGUCAAGAGCAGGACGUGUCGUAUGAGCUGAGCAACAGCAAACACAGCACACUGAUGUCAGUGAGCAGUCUGUCGACUCCGCCCCAAUCUCCAAGCUCCUCCUCCUCUCCCCCACCUCCACCCUCCCCCCCACAGCUGACGGACGGAUCGCACUUCAUGUGUGUGUGAGCGGAGAGACGGACGAGUAAGACACACACACACACACAGUCUGACUCACUUCACAGACGUUACAGUGUUUGUUUGAAUCUCUCAUGUGUUUGUAAUGACUCUGCUCAUAAAACCAGUUUCUGAGGGGUUUAAAUGCAUCAUAAACACAAGCGUGUGUGUGUGUGUGUGUGUGAUAAUCUGUCUGUUCUCGGUGGAAAAUGAAGCAUUCUCUCAAAUGAAGCAGUAAUUAGCCUCCUAACUAGAGUUCAUUAGCUUCAUAGAGUCUCGGUGAGCAUAAAGCUUCACUGAUUAACAGUGCAAUGAAGAGUCAUUCAGACGCCACUUCACAUGACAAUACGCUCGUAUAUAUAAAUAUACAAACUCUUUUCCUAUAUGUAUCAAUUUUAUUCAGAGGCCCAAACUGAGAAAAAAACUAUAUUUGGUGACGAUCCUGAUAUUUCUAUCGACAAUAUAAGCAUUUGUAUUACCUGCAUGAACGCUUACCUUUUAAUUGCUGUUCUGUGGAACGGAGAGGAUUUUAAUGUGUUUUUGUCAGUAAGUGAAGUCAGUUAAACACAAAGGCGAUUUGUGUGUCUUAAUGAAAACAGCUCAGGUGUUAUGAUGAAAAUAUUAAAAGUACUGCAUUAUUUAACUGCUGAAAACUCUUCUUAAUUGCAUGAAGAUUGCAUUUGUUUUGCACAGCAGUAUGAAAUUCACUAAGAAAACCCAGAGUCACAUUUCACUCCAAAAUAAAAAGAAAAGCAUCAGUUGUAUUUUACAUAACCAAAAUGUUUUUUUUUUUUUGCAUUAAACUGAGUUAUGAAAAUCAACCCAUUUGAAUGCCUUUUUAAAUAAAAAUCUGCAUAAAUUAAAAUUCAGCAUUCAACAAAUACUAGCAUAUUUUUUUUUUACAGUUGAAAUUCAAUGUACUUUCAUUACAUCUUUUUUAUAAUAGUAUUUUUUUGUGUGUGUUGCUGUAAUAAGAUGCCAGAAAUGUGCUUAAUGUUUUUUUUAAAUCAACAUGCAUGCAUGCAUAUAUAUAUAAUGCAAAUGUGUUAAUGGUCCAUUUGUCUGUAAAAAAAAAAAAAAGUUUUCAGACAUGGUAUAUUAUGUUGAACUGUAAUGUACCUGUAUUGCCAUAAAAAUAUUUUUAAACACUGCAUCUUUUUUAUUAUUGCUAUUAGAAUUUUGCUGUAAUAACAAUAUGCAGAAAAGCGUGCAUUUAGUGCUCCGUUUGUUUUGUUUUCGGAUCAAAUGUGACACAUGCAUGAUUUUUUUCCCUUUCUUUGAGACUCAUUUAGAUAUAGAUAUGUUAAUAUAUCUGUAACACAAGUGUGUAUAUUGUUGUGUCUGUCCAGCAGCCUCUCCGCCGACAUCAGUGAAGCUCAGCGUGUGAGGAGGGGACGUCCCGUCGUGAGCCAAACACAUCAUCAUCAUCAUCAUCAGAGACAGACAGGACACAGAGACGUCCAAGCCUUAGUUCAAACCAUUCUUUUAUAGUGAUUAUUAUUUAUAUUCCUCUUGAGUUUCCUGACGCAUCUGUAGAUGCCAGAGUUUUAUUGUUUGAUGGGGUGUGCAGAUGUGUCUGAGGUGCUAUCAAACCCUCGCUCUUGUACAUUACAGCGCUCAGACUCGCUCUCAACAGGAAGUGGAGGGACAAAGCCCUUUUAUUCAGACUGCUGAGGAUCGCGUUCAACGUUGGCUUGUUUUAUAUGGAUUUUAAUCAGUCUCUCUCCUGGUUUUACCUAGGGUUUUUAAUGUCUGACACCCAUCGUUUCUUUUUUGCUGUUUGUGUAUAAACAAUGUACAACUAUAAAGAGUCAAUAAAGUGCCAGCGUACUGCUGCCGAAGGACAGGAUUUGUAAAUGAUCUGUAUGUUGGAUAGUCCGCAGUAGCCACCACACUGUUUCCCGACACACUCAUGAAUGUUCCAGCUUACUGUACCUUUUAUUUUUCUAUGGCUGAGAUGUAUUUAACUCUAUAGAGACGAGUACAGAGUAUUAGCGUUUUCAGAAGAGUAUUCCAGAGGUCGGCUUUGGUUUGAGGAGAACAGCACACCACGAGCAAGCGUUUAUAGCCGUUGAUAAAGCAAUAAAAGCAGGGUUUGGUGUUUAACUUGGAUGUACAAACUGUAAAGUUCAUGAUGUAUAUACUGUACACCAUUCUAUGAGCAGAGCAGAGACGCAGAAGAGGUUAUGUAUCAGAGUCAAUAUGCAAAUGUUCAGAUUUCAUCUGUUUUAUAUCAUGUGAAAUAAAUGUUGAUGUUCUUAUAUAUAUAUAUAUAAAUAUAUAUAUAUGAAAAGCUUUCGAUUCCUUUUUUCUGUCUGAUGAAUAUUACAAAAAAUAUAUACUUUAUAUUUAUUUUUUAUUUAAAAAAAUAUGUACAUAUAUUCAUUCAAUUAUACAAACAUUUUCUCUAAAAUUUAUUAUGCAUUUAAUUUGAUUUAAAAGAAAUACAC
ensembl:lncRNA